GAUGAACGCUGGCGGCGUGCCUAAUACAUGCGAGUCGAGCGAACAGACGAGGAGCUUGCUCCUCUGACGUUAGCGGCGGACGGGUGAGUAACACGUGGAUAACCUACCUAUAAGACUGGGAUAACUUCGGGAAACCGGAGCUAAUACCGGAUAAUAUAUUGAACCGCAUGGUUCAAUAGUGAAAGACGGUUUUGCUGUCACUUAUAGAUGGAUCCGCGCCGCAUUAGCUAGUUGGUAAGGUAACGGCUUACCAAGGCGACGAUGCGUAGCCGACCUGAGAGGGUGAUCGGCCACACUGGAACUGAGACACGGUCCAGACUCCUACGAGAGGCAGCAGUAGGGAAUCUUCCGCAAUGGGCGAAAGCCUGACGGAGCAACGCCGCGUGAGUGAUGAAGGUCUUCGGAUCGUAAAACUCUGUUAUUAGGGAAGAACAAAUGUGUAAGUAACUAUGCACGUCUUGACGGUACCUAAUCAGAAAGCCACGGCUAACUACGUG
rnacentral:rRNA from 1 species